GACAGAGGGGGCAAGCGUUGCUCGGAAUUACUGGGCGUAAAGGGCGCGUGGGCGGGAUGGCAAGUCGGUCGUGAAAUCCCUCGGCUCAACCGAGGAACGUCGAUCGAUACUGCUGUUCUUGAGGAUUGCAGAGGAGACUGGAAUUCCCGGUGUAGCGGUGAAAUGUGUAGAGAUCGGGAGGAACACCGGUGGCGAAGGCGGGUCUCUGGGCAAUUCCUGACGCUGAGGCGCGAAAGCGUGGGGAGCAAACGGG
rnacentral:rRNA from 1 species